rnacentral:rRNA from 1 species
GACCGUGCGAAGGUAGCAUAAUCAUUAGUUUUUUAAUUGAAGGCUAGAAUGAAUGGUUGGACAAGAAAUAAUCUGUCUUAAAUUAAUAUAUUGAAUUUAACUUUUAAGUGAAAAGGCUUAAAUAAUCUGAAGGGACGAUAAGACCCUAUAAAACUUUAUAUUGAAAAGUGAUAGGUAUAUUUUGUUUAAAGAAUUAUUACUUUAAAGUAUUUGGUUGGGGUGACAAAAAUAGAAGAUAAAGUAACUGUUUUUUUUUUAUACAAUAAUGUUUGGGUUAAUGAUCCUAAAAUGGAUUAAAGAUUAAGUUACUUUAGGGAUAACAGCGUAAUUUUCUUUAAGAGUUCUUAUCGAUAAGAAAGUUUGCGACCUCGAUGUUGAAUUAAAGGUUCUUUAUGGAGUAGAGACUAUAAAAGAAGGUCUGUUCGACCUUUAAAACUUUACAUGAUUUGAGUUCAGACCGG